GGCUUUUCAGAUAUUGCCUAAUAUAACCAUGCAAAUAAUUCCAGUUCCACAGGCUCAUAUUCUUUCAACAGAAACCAAGUAGUGGGCAGGUGUGACUUUCAAUAUAACCUGAAAAUAAUGAUCCAGAAUACAUAUGUUGUACUUCAAGAUGUGGAUCUAUUUGACAUGACAUCAUUUAACCCAUGUGAAUAGGACCCUGAGUCAUCUAAAUCCAGUGGCAAGAAAAAAGUCAGAAGAACUGAAGAUGGUUUGGGAUGCAGUGGAUGAUUUUUGCAUCUUUGAUGUCUGAUCAAGCUCCAAGUGCUCCACAGCACCUGCUUCAGCUGCCUUCAUGGCCAUUGGAAUAAAUUGUUCUCGCCUGUCCAUUCUGCCAGGGGAAGUCUUUAUAAACUUGGGGUAGACAUUCCCCAAUUCACCAAUAGGUUUGUGGCCUGUUGUUUACCCUCGUUUUGGGUUAGCCCAUCUACUGAGAUAAGGGAGACUAUUUACCUGUCUGGAUAUGCUUCAGCUCCUUGGAGUUAAAGAUGAGAAUAUGGUGAAGGUGAACACCAAAGGUGGAUGAGGAAUCCUGAAAAGAGUUUGGGAAGCCCUCACAUUAGAGAUGCUUGUUCUCCUGAAGCCCUCCCCACAAUAUACACACAAACACAAUGUGUACAUAUACACACAUGCAUACAUGCACACACAUAUGCAUACAAAUAGUGUUAUACACAUCAAUGGGAACCAGUAGAUGAGGAAUGAUGUUCAGAUAAAUCAGGUUAUUGGUCACUAAAAACCUAAUAAAUUCUCUUUGAGAAUUUCUCUUUCACCCUGGGCACUACUAACAAAAUUAAAUAGGCCAGAGUGAUACACCAGGUAGAGAUCUUCUUUGCAUGUUGUUCACAUUUCCUCUAUACCCUCAACUGAAAACCACAAGAGCCCAGAGCUCUGAUGUGGACCUCAAGGGUUCAGACUUUUGGGAAGGCUGAGUCAUCAAAGAACAACAUGGAAAUAUUGUGGCCACUUUGUAUGUGGCUGCAGAGACACUCUGGGAUGGUAGCUUUCAGGGAAGGAAAGGAGCACAAUCAGGACCAAGUCUUUACUGGAAGAAAUUGGACAUUUCAUUCUUCUCCCCUUUAAAAACAAGCCGACUCUUGUUUCAAGACUGAAUAAGGUGGGAAAAUGGCAUCCCCUUGGAGGAUAAGCAAAUUGGGAAAUUCCUGCCCCAGGAGGCUCUGAGUCUUGCCUUAUGGGUCAAGAAGAACAGACCUUUCUGCCAUUAAAACUUUAUUGUAAGAAU